GAAAGCCUAGCUUUCAUUCCGUUAGCGGCGGACGGGUGAGUAACACGUGGGUAACCUGCCCUAUAGACUGGGAUAACUCGCGGAAACGCGUGCUAAUACCGGAUAACACAUCAAAGUGCAUGCUUUGAUGUUGAAAGAUGGUUCUGCUAUCACUAUAGGAUGGGCCCGCGGCGCAUUAGCUUGUUGGUGGGGUAACGGCCUACCAAGGCGACGAUGCGUAGCCGACCUGAGAGGGUGAUCGGCCACACUGGGACUGAGACACGGCCCAGACUCCUACGGGAGGCAGCAGUAGGGAAUCUUCCACAAUGGGCGAAAGCCUGAUGGAGCAACGCCGCGUGAGCGAAGAAGGUCUUCGGAUCGUAAAGCUCUGUUGUAAGGGAAGAACAAGUGCAGUAGUAACUGGCUGCACCUUGACGGUACCUUACUAGAAAGCCACGGCUAACUACGUGCCAGCAGCCGCGGUAAUACGUAGGUGGCAAGCGUUGUCCGGAAUUAUUGGGCGUAAAGCGCGCGCAGGCGGUCUCUUAAGUCUGAUGUGAAAGCCCCCGGCUUAACCGGGGAGGGUCAU
rnacentral:rRNA from 1 species